GAUGAACGCUGGCGGCGUGCCUAAUACAUGCAAGUCGAGCGAACGGACGAGAAGCUUGCUUCUCUGAUGUUAGCGGCGGACGGGUGAGUAACACGUGGAUAACCUACCUAUAAGACUGGGAUAAAUUCGGGAAACCGGAGCUAAUACCGGAUGAUAUUUUGAACCGCAUGGUUCAAAAGUGAAAGACGGUCUUGCUGUCACUUAUAGAUGGAUCCGCGCUGCAUUAGCUAGUUGGUAAGGUAACGGCUUACCAAGGCAACGAUGCAUAGCCGACCUGAGAGGGUGAUCGACCACACUGGAACUGAGACACGGUCCAGACUCCUACGGGAGGCAGCAGUAGGGAAUCUUCCGCAAUGGGCGAAAGCCUGACGGAGCAACGCCGCGUGAGUGAUGAAGGUCUUCGGAUCGUAAAACUCUGUUAUUAGGGAAGAACAUAUGUGUAAGUAACUGUGCACAUCUUGACGGUACCUAAUCAGAAAGCCACGGCUAACUACGUG
rnacentral:rRNA from 1 species